ACUAAGCGUACACGGUGGAUGCCCUGGCAGUCAGAGGCGAUGAAGGACGUGCUAAUCUGCGAAAAGCGUCGGUAAGGUGAUAUGAACCGUUAUAACCGGCGAUGUCCGAAUGGGGAAACCCAGUGCAAUUCGUUGCACUAUCGUUAACUGAAUACAUAGGUUAACGAGGCGAACCGGGGGAACUGAAACAUCUAAGUACCCCGAGGAAAAGAAAUCAACCGAGAUUCCCCCAGUAGCGGCGAGCGAACGGGGAGCAGCCCAGAGUCUGAAUCAGCUUGUGUGUUAGUGGAACGGUCUGGAAAGUCCGACGGUACAGGGUGAUAGUCCCGUACACCAAAAUGCACAGGUUGUGAACUCGAAGAGUAGGGCGGGACACGUGGUAUCCUGUCUGAAUAUGGGGGGACCAUCCUCCAAGGCUAAAUACUCCUGACUGACCGAUAGUGAACCAGUACCGUGAGGGAAAGGCGAAAAGAACCCCGGCGAGGGGAGUGAAAAAGAACCUGAAACCGUGUACGUACAAGCAGUGGGAGCACCUUCGGGUGUGACUGCGUACCUUUUGUAUAAUGGGUCAGCGACUUAUAUUCUGUAGCAAGGUUAACCGUAUAGGGGAGCCGCAGGGAAACCGAGUCUUAACUGGGCGUUAAGUUGCAGGGUAUAGACCCGAAACCCGGUGAUCUAGCCAUGGGCAGGUUGAAGGUUGGGUAACACUAACUGGAGGACCGAACCGACUAAUGUUGAAAAAUUAGCGGAUGACUUGUGGCUGGGGGUGAAAGGCCAAUCAAACCGGGAGAUAGCUGGUUCUCCCCGAAAGCUAUUUAGGUAGCGCCUCGUGAACUCAUCUUCGGGGGUAGAGCACUGUUUCGGCUAGGGGGUCAUCCCGACUUACCAACCCGAUGCAAACUACGAAUACCGAAGAAUGUUAUCACGGGAGACACACGGCGGGUGCUAACGUCCGUCGUGAAGAGGGAAACAACCCAGACCGCCAGCUAAGGUCCCAAAGUCAUGGUUAAGUGGGAAACGAUGUGGGAAGGCACAGACAGCCAGGAUGUUGGCUUAGAAGCAGCCAUCAUUUAAAGAAAGCGUAAUAGCUCACUGGUCGAGUCGGCCUGCGCGGAAGAUGUAACGGGGCUAAACCAUGCACCGAAGCUGCGGCAGCGACACUAUGUGUUGUUGGGUAGGGGAGCGUUCUGUAAGCCUGCGAAGGUGUGCUGUGAGGCAUGCUGGAGGUAUCAGAAGUGCGAAUGCUGACAUAAGUAACGAUAAAGCGGGUGAAAAGCCCGCUCGCCGGAAGACCAAGGGUUCCUGUCCAACGUUAAUCGGGGCAGGGUGAGUCGACCCCUAAGGCGAGGCCGAAAGGCGUAGUCGAUGGGAAACAGGUUAAUAUUCCUGUACUUGGUGUUACUGCGAAGGGGGGACGGAGAAGGCUAUGUUAGCCGGGCGACGGUUGUCCCGGUUUAAGCAUGUAGGCUGGUUGUCCAGGCAAAUCCGGAUAAUCAAGGCUGAGGUGUGAUGACGAGGCACUACGGUGCUGAAGUAACAAAUGCCCUGCUUCCAGGAAAAGCCUCUAAGCAUCAGGUAACAUUAAAUCGUACCCCAAACCGACACAGGUGGUCAGGUAGAGAAUACCAAGGCGCUUGAGAGAACUCGGGUGAAGGAACUAGGCAAAAUGGUGCCGUAACUUCGGGAGAAGGCACGCUGGUGUGUAGGUGAAGUCCCUGCGGAUGGAGCUGAGACCAGUCGAAGAUACCAGCUGGCUGCAACUGUUUAUUAAAAACACAGCACUGUGCAAACACGAAAGUGGACGUAUACGGUGUGACGCCUGCCCGGUGCCGGAAGGUUAAUUGAUGGGGUUAUCCGUAAGGAGAAGCUCUUGAUCGAAGCCCCGGUAAACGGCGGCCGUAACUAUAACGGUCCUAAGGUAGCGAAAUUCCUUGUCGGGUAAGUUCCGACCUGCACGAAUGGCGUAAUGAUGGCCAGGCUGUCUCCACCCGAGACUCAGUGAAAUUGAACUCGCUGUGAAGAUGCAGUGUACCCGCGGCAAGACGGAAAGACCCCGUGAACCUUUACUAUAGCUUGACACUGAACAUUGAGCCUUGAUGUGUAGGAUAGGUGGGAGGCUUUGAAGCGUGGACGCCAGUCUGCGUGGAGCCAACCUUGAAAUACCACCCUUUAAUGUUUGAUGUUCUAACGUUGGCCCCUGACCGGGGUUGCGGACAGUGUCUGGUGGGUAGUUUGACUGGGGCGGUCUCCUCCCAAAGCGUAACGGAGGAGCACGAAGGUUAGCUAAUCCUGGUCGGACAUCAGGAGGUUAGUGCAAUGGCAUAAGCUAGCUUGACUGCGAGCGUGACGGCGCGAGCAGGUGCGAAAGCAGGUCAUAGUGAUCCGGUGGUUCUGAAUGGAAGGGCCAUCGCUCAACGGAUAAAAGGUACUCCGGGGAUAACAGGCUGAUACCGCCCAAGAGUUCAUAUCGACGGCGGUGUUUGGCACCUCGAUGUCGGCUCAUCACAUCCUGGGGCUGAAGUAGGUCCCAAGGGUAUGGCUGUUCGCCAUUUAAAGUGGUACGCGAGCUGGGUUUAGAACGUCGUGAGACAGUUCGGUCCCUAUCUGCCGUGGGCGCUGGAGAAUUGAGGGGGGCUGCUCCUAGUACGAGAGGACCGGAGUGGACGCAUCACUGGUGUUCGGGUUGUCAUGCCAAUGGCACUGCCCGGUAGCUAAAUGCGGAAGAGAUAAGUGCUGAAAGCAUCUAAGCACGAAACUUGCCCCGAGAUGAGUUCUCCCUGAGACUUUAAGUCUCCUGAAGGAACGUUGAAGACGACGACGUUGAUAGGCCGGGUGUGUAAGCGCAGCGAUGCGUUGAGCUAACCGGUACUAAUGAACCGUGAGGCUUAACC
rnacentral:rRNA from 1 species